rnacentral:hammerhead_ribozyme from 1 species
AUCUAUCGUCCCAAAUAGGACGAAACGCGCGUCCUGGAU